GGCCCAUUAGCUCAGUUGG
rnacentral:siRNA from 1 species